rnacentral:lncRNA from 1 species
AAGUAGAAAGCUACAUAACUCAUGCGCAGAUAAUCGCCGAGGAACGUAUGGCCCGAUCCAAUAUAAAAAUAAAUGUGCACUGCCAAUGGUUGAAUGGCUCGAAUCAUAGAUGUAUCUAUUACCCCGCUCGCGAAUCAUACAUGCGAUGUGGUAAAAUGUAAAUAACAAUCACCCUGCUCGUGAAUCAUACAUGUAACGCAUG